rnacentral:rRNA from 1 species
AAUGAACGUUGGCGGCGUGGAUUAGGCAUGCAAGUCGAGCGAGAACCCGCAAGGGGGACAGCGGCGAACGGGGUAGGACAACGUAGGUAACGUACCCUCGGGGCGAGGACAGCCACGGGAAACUGUGGGUAAUACUCGAUAAACUUCCCAAUCAUUAUGGAAGGGGAAGCAAUGGGUGUGAUUCCACCUGAGGAGCGGCUUACGCAGUAUCAGCUAGUUGGUGAGGUAACGGCUCACCAAGGCUACGACGCUUAGGGGGUGUGAGAGCAUGGCCCCCACCACUGGCACUGAGACACUGGCCAGACACCUACGGGUGGCUGCAGUCGAGAAUCUUCGGCAAUGGACGCAAGUCUGACCGAGCGACGCCGCGUGCGGGAUGAAGGCCUUCGGGUUGUAAACCGCUGUCAGAGGGGAGUGAAGUAUACGGGAGUUAUCUCCUGUAUUUGACAGAGCCUCAGAGGAAGCACGGGCUAAGUUCGUGCCAGCAGCCGCGGUAAU